CAAUAGCGUAUAUUAAAGUUGUUGCAGUUAAAAAGCUCGUAGUUGGAUUUCUGACCUGCGUAGCAUAGACCACAUGGCCCCGUGCUGUGUAGCGCGCUGUGUUGCAAUGGUCAUCUUCUCGAGGACCGUCAGUGGCCUUCAUUGCGCUGCAGAUGGAAUCCGGGACGUUUACUUUGAAAAAAUUAGAGUGUUCAAAGCAAGCUUUGCUUGAAUAUAUUAGCAUGGAAUAAUAAGAUAGGACUUAGUUGUCUAUUUUGUUGGUUUUCAUAGCGCUAAGUAAUGAUUGAUAGGGACCGUUGGGGGUGCUACUAUUUUCUGGCCAGAGGUGAAAUUCUUUGAUUCAGGAAAGAGUAACUAAUGCGAAAGCAUUCACCAAGGAGGUCUNCUUUA
rnacentral:rRNA from 1 species